rnacentral:rRNA from 1 species
UAUGUGAUCGUCUCUCGCAUAUCAAUAAGCGGAGGAAAAGAAACUAACAAGGAUUCCCUUAGUAACGGCGAGUGAAGCGGGAAGAGCUCAAAUUUGAAAUCUUCAAGGUUUUACCUUGACGAAUUGUAGUUUAAAGAAGUGUUUUCUGUUGAAGUUUUGGUAAAAGUUCUUUGGAAUAGGACAUCAUAGAGGGUGAGAAUCCCGUAUUUGACCAUUAUUUUCAGCUGUGUGAUACACUUUCAAAGAGUCGGAUUGUUUGGGAAUGCAGUCCAAAAUGGGUGGUAAAUUUCAUCUAAAGCUAAAUAUUGGCGAGAGACCGAUAGCGAACAAGUACCGUGAGGGAAGGAUGAAAAGAACUUUGAAAAGAGAGUUAAACAGUACGUGAAAUUGUCAAAAGGGAAGCGUUUGACACCAGUGUUGUUUUCUCGAAAAUCAAUUAAAAAGAGUUAGAUUUUGUUGUGUAUUGACCUUAACAGCUUGCAUUUCAAUUUUCUUGCUUUUUUUAAUGCACUUUUCGUUUAACAAGUCAACAUCAGUUUCUUUUGUUGUAAAAAGGUCAUUGGAAGGUGGCUUUCUUUUCGGAGAAAGUGUUUAUAGCCUUUGACUCCUGCAAUCGGAGAGACUGAGGUCUGCAGCGUAGAUCCUUCGGGGUUAGAUACAUUUGUGCUAAGUUAUAGCUUUUUAUAGACAACUUGUUGACUAUGAUUAGUCUUGUAGCUUACUCGCUUAUGCUAUUUUACCUACGCUUAGGAUGUUGAAGAUGUAGCACAUCAU